GCAAACAGGAUUAGAUACCCUGGUAGUCCACGCUGUAAACGAUGUCGAUUUGGAGGUUGUGCCCUUGAGGCGUGGCUUCCGGAGCUAACGCGUUAAAUCGACCGCCUGGGGAGUACGGCCGCAAGGUUAAAACUCAAAUGAAUUGACGGGGGCCCGCACAAGCGGUGGAGCAUGUGGUUUAAUUCGAUGCAACGCGAAGAACCUUACCUACUCUUGACAUCCAGAGAACUUUCCAGAGAUGGAUUGGUGCCUUCGGGAACUCUGAGACAGGUGCUGCAUGGCUGUCGUCAGCUCGUGUUGUGAAAUGUUGGGUUAAGUCCCGCAACGAGCGCAACCCUUAUCCUUUGUUGCCAGCGGUUCGGCCGGGAACUCAAAGGAGACUGCCAGUGAUAAACUGGAGGAAGGUGGGGAUGACGUCAAGUCAUCAUGGCCCUUACGAGUAAGGCUACACACGUGCUACAAUGGCAUAUACAAAGAGAAGCGACCUCGCGAGAGCAAGCGGACCUCAUAAAGUAUGUCGUAGUCCGGAUUGGAGUCUGCAACUCGACUCCAUGAAGUCGGAAUCGCUAGUAAUCGUAGAUCAGAAUGCUACGGUGAAUACGUUCCCGGGCCUUGUACACACCGCCCGUCACACCAUGGGAGUGGGUUGCAAAAGAAGUAGGUAGCUUAACCUUCGGGAGGGCGCUUACCACUUUGUGAUUCAUGACUGGGG
rnacentral:rRNA from 1 species